rnacentral:rRNA from 1 species
AGGGAAUAUUGGUCAAUGGGCGGAAGCCUGAACCAGCCAUGCCGCGUGCAGGAUGACGGCCUUCUGGGUUGUAAACUGCUUUUAUCAGGGAAGAAAACGGUCAUGCGUGACAGAUUGACGGUACCUGAAGAAU